rnacentral:rRNA from 1 species
GGGUUGUGAGGUUAAGCGACUAAGCGUACACGGUGGAUGCCCUGGCAGUCAGAGGCGAUGAAGGGCGUGCUAAUCUGCGAUAAGCGCCGGUAAGGUGAUAUGAACCGUUAUAACCGGCGAUACCCGAAUGGGGAAACCCAGUGUGACUCGUCACACUAUCAUUAACUGAAUCCAUAGGUUAAUGAGGCGAACCGGGAGAACUGAAACAUCUAAGUACCCCGAGGAAAAGAAAUCAACCGAGAUUCCCCCAGUAGCGGCGAGCGAACGGGGAGGAGCCCAGAGCCUGAAUCAGCAUGUGUGUUAGUGGAAGCGUCUGGAAAGGCGCGCGAUACAGGGUGACAGCCCCGUACACAAAAGCGCAUGUGCUGUGAGCUCGAUGAGUAGGGCGGGACACGUGGUAUCCUGUCUGAAUAUGGGGGGACCAUCCUCCAAGGCUAAAUACUCCUGACUGACCGAUAGUGAACCAGUACCGUGAGGGAAAGGCGAAAAGAACCCCGGCGAGGGGAGUGAAAAAGAACCUGAAACCGUGUACGUACAAGCAGUGGGAGCACAGGUUUACCUGUGUGACUGCGUACCUUUUGUAUAAUGGGUCAGCGACUUAUAUUCUGUAGCAAGGUUAACCGAAUAGGGGAGCCGGAGGGAAACCGAGUCUUAAUUGGGCGUUAAGUUGCAGGGUAUAGACCCGAAACCCGGUGAUCUAGCCAUGGGCAGGUUGAAGGUUGGGUAACACUAACUGGAGGACCGAACCGACUAAUGUUGAAAAAUUAGCGGAUGACCUGUGGCUGGGGGUGAAAGGCCAAUCAAACCGGGAGAUAGCUGGUUCUCCCCGAAAGCUAUUUAGGUAGCGCCUCGUGAAUUCAUCUCCGGGGGUAGAGCACUGUUUCGGCUAGGGGGCCAUCCCGGCUUACCAACCCGAUGCAAACUGCGAAUACCGGAGAAUGUUAUCACGGGAGACACACGGCGGGUGCUAACGUCCGUCGUGAAGAGGGAAACAACCCAGACCGCCAGCUAAGGUCCCAAAGUCAUGGUUAAGUGGGAAACGAUGUGGGAAGGCCAAGACAGCCAGGAUGUUGGCUUAGAAGCAGCCAUCAUUUAAAGAAAGCGUAAUAGCUCACUGGUCGAGUCGGCCUGCGCGGAAGAUGUAACGGGGCUAAACCAUGCACCGAAGCUGCGGCAGCGAACGUAUCACUUAAAGCGAUUCAGCGGGUUACGAUUGACGGAGCGAAGCGACGUCAAAGCGUAUACAAAGUCGAGUCGGUUUAAGGAUACGUUCGUUGGGUAGGGGAGCGUUCUGUAAGCCUGUGAAGGUGGCCUGUGAGGGUUGCUGGAGGUAUCAGAAGUGCGAAUGCUGACAUAAGUAACGAUAAAGCGGGUGAAAAGCCCGCUCGCCGGAAGACCAAGGGUUCCUGUCCAACGUUAAUCGGGGCAGGGUGAGUCGACCCCUAAGGCGAGGCCGAAAGGCGUAGUCGAUGGGAAACAGGUUAAUAUUCCUGUACUUGGUGUUACUGCGAAGGGGGGACGGAGAAGGCUAUGUUGGCCGGGCGACGGUUGUCCCGGUUUAAGCGUGUAGGCUGGUUUUCCAGGCAAAUCCGGAAAAUCAAGGCUGAGGCGUGAUGACGAGGCACUACGGUGCUGAAGCAACAAAUGCCCUGCUUCCAGGAAAAGCCUCUAAGCAUCAGGUAACAUCAAAUCGUACCCCAAACCGACACAGGUGGUCAGGUAGAGAAUACCAAGGCGCUUGAGAGAACUCGGGUGAAGGAACUAGGCAAAAUGGUGCCGUAACUUCGGGAGAAGGCACGCUGACACGUAGGUGAAGUGAUUUACUCACGGAGCUGAAGUCAGUCGAAGAUACCAGCUGGCUGCAACUGUUUAUUAAAAACACAGCACUGUGCAAACACGAAAGUGGACGUAUACGGUGUGACGCCUGCCCGGUGCCGGAAGGUUAAUUGAUGGGGUCAGCGCAAGCGAAGCUCCUGAUCGAAGCCCCGGUAAACGGCGGCCGUAACUAUAACGGUCCUAAGGUAGCGAAAUUCCUUGUCGGGUAAGUUCCGACCUGCACGAAUGGCGUAAUGAUGGCCAGGCUGUCUCCACCCGAGACUCAGUGAAAUUGAACUCGCUGUGAAGAUGCAGUGUACCCGCGGCAAGACGGAAAGACCCCGUGAACCUUUACUAUAGCUUGACACUGAACAUUGAGCCUUGAUGUGUAGGAUAGGUGGGAGGCUUUGAAGCGUGGACGCCAGUCUGCGUGGAGCCGACCUUGAAAUACCACCCUUUAAUGUUUGAUGUUCUAACGUGGACCCGUAAUCCGGGUUGCGGACAGUGUCUGGUGGGUAGUUUGACUGGGGCGGUCUCCUCCUAAAGAGUAACGGAGGAGCACGAAGGUUGGCUAAUCCUGGUCGGACAUCAGGAGGUUAGUGCAAUGGCAUAAGCCAGCUUGACUGCGAGCGUGACGGCGCGAGCAGGUGCGAAAGCAGGUCAUAGUGAUCCGGUGGUUCUGAAUGGAAGGGCCAUCGCUCAACGGAUAAAAGGUACUCCGGGGAUAACAGGCUGAUACCGCCCAAGAGUUCAUAUCGACGGCGGUGUUUGGCACCUCGAUGUCGGCUCAUCACAUCCUGGGGCUGAAGUAGGUCCCAAGGGUAUGGCUGUUCGCCAUUUAAAGUGGUACGCGAGCUGGGUUUAGAACGUCGUGAGACAGUUCGGUCCCUAUCUGCCGUGGGCGCUGGAGAACUGAGGGGGGCUGCUCCUAGUACGAGAGGACCGGAGUGGACGCAUCACUGGUGUUCGGGUUGUCAUGCCAAUGGCACUGCCCGGUAGCUAAAUGCGGAAGAGAUAAGUGCUGAAAGCAUCUAAGCACGAAACUUGCCCCGAGAUGAGUUCUCCCUGAGACUUUAGGUCUCCUGAAGGAACGUUGAAGACGACGACGUUGAUAGGCCGGGUGUGUAAGCGCAGCGAUGCGUUGAGCUAACCGGUACUAAUGAACCGUGAGGCUUAACCUUACAACGCCGAAG